UCUGGCCACUCAGUAUUACUCAUUUGGGGUGGAUUAGUUGCAGCUGUGCACCUUUUGCAAGCAGACAAUUGCAGAGUCAGGGUUCAUAUGAGGGCGUUUCUUCAUGAUAACUGAGCCUAGGGCAUACAGGUUGAGCGCUCCUCUAGGCUUGACUUUGCUAUAUCCAUUCUACACUCGGAUGCAAACGUGAAGUACAAUAGCACAGGCGCCCUCGAUUUCUCCUGAAACCUUGAAUUAUCUUGUUAGAUUAUUCCAUGAAAGCUCUUA